CGCGUAGGCGGUCUGUUAAGUGUAGAGUGAAAGCUCCGGGCUCAACCCGGAAACUGCUCUGCAUACUGGCAGACUGGAGGAAUGGAGAGGUAUGUGGAAUUCCUGGUGUAGCGGUGAAAUGCGCUGAUAUCAGGAGGAACACCCAUGGCGAAGGCAGCAUACUGGCCAUUAUCUGACGCUGAGGCGCGAAAGCGUGGGUAGCAAACA
rnacentral:rRNA from 1 species